GACGAACGCUGGCGGCAGGCUUAACACAUGCAAGUCGAGCGCCCCGCAAGGGGAGCGGCGGACGGGUGAGUAACGCGUGGGAAUCUGCCCUUUGGUGUGGGACAACCACGGGAAACUGUGGCUAAUACCGCAUGAGCCCGAGAGGGGAAAGCCGCAAGGCGCCGAGGGAUGAGCCCGCGUCGGAUUAGCUAGUUGGUAGGGUAACGGCCUACCAAGGCGAUGAUCCGUAGCUGGUCUGAGAGGAUGAUCAGCCACACUGGGACUGAGACACGGCCCAGACUCCUACGGGAGGCAGCAGUGGGGAAUAUUGGACAAUGGGGGAAACCCUGAUCCAGCCAUGCCGCGUGAGUGAUGAAGGCCUUCGGGUUGUAAAGCUCUUUCGGCGGGGACGAUAAUGACGGUACCCGCAGAAGAAGCCCCGGCUAACUUCGUGCCAGCAGCCGCGGUAAAU
rnacentral:rRNA from 1 species